rnacentral:rRNA from 1 species
GAACGCUGGCGGCGUGCCUAAUACAUGCAAGUCGAACGGCUUUUCUAUGGAAGCUUGCUUCCACUGAGAAGAUAGUGGCGAACGGGUGAGUAACACGUGGGUAACCUGCCCAUAAGAGGGGGAGUAACAUCCGGAAACGGGUGCUAAUACCGCAUAGUUUUCUUGAUCGCAUGAUCGGGAAAGGAAAGACGGCCUUUGUGCUGUCGCUUAUGGAUGGACCCGCGGCGUAUUAGUUAGUUGGUGAGGUAACGGCUCACCAAGACGAUGAUACGUAGCCGACCUGAGAGGGUGAUCGGCCACAUUGGGACUGAGACACGGCCCAAACUCCUACGGGAGGCAGCAGUAGGGAAUCUUCCGCAAUGGACGAAAGUCUGACGGAGCAACGCCGCGUGAGUGAAAGAAGGUUUUCGGAUCGUAAAACUCUGUUGUCAGAGAAGAACAAGUUGGAGAGUAACUGCUCCAGCCUUGACGGUAUCUGACCAGAAAGCCACGGCUAACUACGUGCCAGCCGCCGC